GAUGAACGCUGACAGAAUGCUUAACACAUGCAAGUCUUUGGCGAAGCUGUGCUUGCACAGCCUAGCCAAGGCGGACGGGUGAGUAACGCGUAAGGAACUUGCCCUGCAGUCAGGGAUAACAGACGGAAACGACUGAUAAGUCCUGGUAAAGUCAGGCGGACUCAUGUCCAGCCUGAUGAAAAGAGAUGCUGCAGGAGAGCCUUGCGUCCUAUUAGCUUGUUGGUGGGGUAACGGCCCACCAAGGCGAUGAUAGGUAGCCGGCCUGAGAGGGUGGACGGCCACAAGGGGACUGAGAUACGGCCCUUACUCCUACGGGAGGCAGCAGUGGGGAAUAUUGGACAAUGGGGGCAACCCUGAUCCAGCAAUUCUGUGUGCACGAUGAAGGUUUUCGGAUUGUAAAGUGCUUUCAGCAGGGAAGAAAAAAAUGACGGUACCUGCAGAAGAAGCGACGGCUAAAUACGUG
rnacentral:rRNA from 1 species